UGCAGUCGAGCGAGAAAGUGUAGCAAUACAUGAGUAAAGCGGCGCACGGGUGAGUAACACGUGGAUAACCUGCCUCGAAGUGGGGAAUAACACCGGGAAACCGGUGCUAAUACCGCAUAUACCAACAAGAUCUGCGGAUUUUGUCGGGAAAGGAGCAAUUCGCUUUGAGAGGGGUCCGCGGCUGAUUAGCUAGUUGGUGAGGUAAUGGCUCACCAAGGCAACGAUCAGUAGCCGGUCUGAGAGGACGGUCGGCCACACUGGAACUGAGACACGGUCCAGACUCCUACGGGAGGCAGCAGUGGGGAAUUUUUCGCAAUGGGGGCAACCCUGACGAAGCAAUGCCGCGUGGGUGAUGAAGUCUCUUGGGACGUAAAACCCUUUCGACAGGGACGAAAGCCGCAAGGUUUGACGGUACCUGUAGAAGAAGCCCCGGCUAACUCCGUGCCAGCAGCCGCGGUAAUACGGGGGGGGCAAGCGUUGUUCGGAAUUACUGGGCGUAAAGGGUGCGUAGGCGGCUUUCUAAGUUGGAUGUGAAAACUCUGGGCUCAACCCAGAGCCUGCAUCCAAAACUGGAAGGCUAGGGUUCUGGAGGGGAAAGCGGAAUUCCUGGUGUAGCGGUGAAAUGCGUAGAUAUCAGGAGGAACACCGGUGGCGAAGGCGGCUUUCUGGACAGAUACCGACGCUGAGGCACGAAAGCUAGGGGAGCAAACAGGAUUAGAUACCCUGGUAGUCCUAGCCCUAAACUAUGGAUACUUGCUGUG
rnacentral:rRNA from 1 species